CUCGUUGGAUCUCGUGGAGUGCAGAUGUGUCCUCGGUCGCUCCGCAGUCGCCGCGCGACUCAGUUUGUGCCUGGCUGUCGGAUGGAGCAGUCGCAUCGGUCUGCGCUCCUGUUGUGAGCUGUCCUAACCUGCCCAGACAUGUAAUGAUGACGUCACAGCUGACGUCACAGGAUGUCCAGAACUUGUGGUCAUAGCUGCGAUGCUUUGCAGCCUGCUUCUGUGCUCCGUCGCCCGGCGAUGGUCAACGGCCGUUCCGUACCGCUUUCUUCAAGAUGGCGUCGUUGAUCUUCAACUAACUCCUUCUCUCCACUCUAUUUCUAUGUAUUUUUUUUCUUUUUUAUGGACACAGGUUGCCGCCAACGCACAGCUGGCCUGAACACGAGUUAGACGCUCUCCAAUUAGUGUGAUGACUCAUUGGAUGAUGCUGAUUAAUGUGAGGGUCCCAAUUAGCUCUAAUUGAUUAAUUAAUCGUGUUUAAGGCUAGUUGUGCGUCUGUGUCCAGUCAUUACUACUCACUAGGAGAUCAGCAUCUAGCUCGAUGUAACUCUUCCGUUAGGAGUUUCCAAAUAUCUAAAGAAACAAGGCCAGGAAGGCCAUCGUGGAAGUAGCUCUGUGAUAAAUAAACGGUCAGAUAUAGACAGGCGGAGAUAACUGCGGCUAUCGCAGAGAGAGCUGCUCCAGACAAAACACCAUUUUAUUAUUAUUUCGAUUUUCACACUCGUCAUUCUCUUCCAUACGGCAGCAUGAGAUCUUCGUUACCGCAGGAAGGCGAAAUCUAUCCUGGGGCUUUAACUUGGCUUGACUACACUUUAACCACGACCUACUCUAUACUAGAGACCUGGACAACUGGCAGUCGUCUAUGGGAGAGCCGGGUCAUGGGAUAGUUACGGUAGUGGCCACUGCAAGCGCCACAUAGCAUUAUUGGGGACAGAGAAUGUGGCUGUCGCCCUUGCCACCGUCUUUCGUGCUACCAAGCUGUUGCUAAGCACGCGCUAUUCUCUCUCUCACUGCUUCGUCGUCGUUGUCAACUCAGCCCACCAUGCAUUGCCGCGGUUUCGGCAAGUCACGUGGUAACGAAUAGUGCGAACUAGCGCGAAAUCCCAUAGCCAAGCGGCGAUUGUCAGAACUACUACCUCAGCGCUGGGAGCUUUGCGGAUGUCCAGGUCUCUAGUAUAGUAGUAGGUCGUGCUUUAACACAGUGAAAUUUCAGUAUAAUAAUUUCAGAACCUUAUGCCGGAAAAUAAAAAAUAAAAUAAUCGAGUUUUCCAACGAGAAAUUUAUAAAUACUGGCGCACUGUAAUUCUGAAAACAGAUCCAAUAUCUGCCGCUGACUUGAAUGUUGCGUUCAAACAACGGUGAUUACGGGUAGCAUGGGGGAACAAGUGAUAUAGAAGCGGAACUCCCGCACUCUAAGAAAAAAAAGGGAGUCGCGAAGCGUCAGAUGCGCGCCUGACCUCCCAUUCGCGGUUUCUCUAAGGGUACACGCAAAAGUGCACAUACACGUCGAUCGUACAAACGCGCAUGCUUAGAAGAUCUUGAAACAAUGUCGCGUCAGCCUGCAUGUUGCUGUGUCAUUGAGCAUACAAAUCAGUUGUUUUUUUCUCCCCCCGUUUUUCGAAUGUGCUUGUGGCUCUGUGAAUGUGCCUUUCUAUUAUUCAGGUGAAAGGCAGACUGGUUGGGGAAUUCGCGCAAUUCAACGCAGGACGGAAUUUUCACAUAAUGUUUUUAUAUAAUUUUUAUAAUAUAAUUUUUAUAUAAUGCAGUUGCUAGAUAUGUUAUGAUUUUGUGCACGUUUUGUUCUUAUGAAAAGCUUUUUUUUUUUUGAGUGUGUGAAGCAUGUAUGUCUGCGCAGUAUACAGCUUCAUCUGAGCUGUACUUCAGAACACCGCAUCAGCUGAGAUUGCGUUUUAUAUCUUCAUGCAUUAAGCAUCUGUCUUUUUCCAGCUCCUUGCCUUUGAAAUGGAAGCACAGUAAGCGUGUGCCAACACCCAUACAUGAGAGGAGAGAGCUGGAGCCAUGGUUUUGUUGCUGUUGACACUGGAACCUGCUUUGCAGAACUUAGACGCAUAUGUAAUCCUUAUCUCAUCACCUUUCUACUCUAGCUGUUCAGAUAAUUCUUCGGUACACCAGAACCAUGCGAAUACCUCCUUCUCCCCAAUGGUAUACACCUUCUGCUGUGGUUAUUUAUGAAGGUGUCUGCUGGUCAGAAAGCAGUGGCUCUGUGUUGAAGGUGCCCUGGUCAGUGCUAUGUUUUGCUUCCUGCCACCACUGCUAAGAGAGAAGACAGAUGGAGUCAUCAAGAAGUUGGUAACCUACUUCAACUGAUUCCUGUACAUGACAAUCGCUACAAGGAAAUGGGCUUCCGGUUCGAUGACCACAUAAGCCAGGAGAGGCCCAUGUGUAUCCUACCAUCAUCCAUCACACAACGGAUGGCCUGCAAGCUUCUGCAUCAUUCUCUGUUUUGACCGAAGGGUUCAUGAUGCCACGACCACCUGCAGCGAGAAGCCGUUCUCGACCCCAACAACGGCACCGACCUCAGCGAGUCCCUGGGAACUCUCCUGCUCGGAGGCCUUCCCCGUCACCCCGAUCCCCAAACAGAUCAAACAGACACCCCACCGAGCCUCCAGCGGUGUACACGGAACAAGAAAGAAGCACCCUCUGCCCCUUCUGCGGUGUUCCACUGAUCCACCCUCCGACCCAUAAUGCGGGAGCCCUUCACCUGCAUCGUAUCCAACAAGCCGCACAGCAGAGGGCAGCAGCUAACAACGUGGCCUCCGCUCCUACACGUCGGGACAUAGUCGCUGCAGUGAACCUACUUCGGCAGCUGGCCCCCCAAGUUCUCGCUCGGCCAUCCUUCUCACCGGACCCUGAGGAUAUAAUCCUCGACCUCCCCGAACUUCCGGACAUUUGCCUCAAGGGGGGGAGAGUGUGGGGGGCGCUGAUAACUCGGCAACUUCCGCGCAGAUAGCGCAAGAGAUAAAAGAGCGAGCGCUCGGGGAAGGAGUGAUUCGUGCGGCAGGCAGGCUGGCAGACGGUCACUAAAGCGAGGAGCGACGAAGCGGGCAGACGGCCAGCAGCUCUGAUGUGAGGCAAUAAACUUUGUUUCUUUU